AAUGAACGCUGGCGGCAGGCCUAACACAUGCAAGUCGAGCGGAGCGGCGGACGGGUGAGUAAUGCCUAGGAAUCUGCCUGGUAGUGGGGGAUAACGUCCGGAAACGGGCGCUUAUACCGCAUACUAUCAGAUGAGCCUAGGUCGGAUUACCUAGUUGGUGGGGUAAAGGCCUACCAAGGCGACGAUCCGUAACUGGUCUGAGAGGAGGAUCAGUCAGACUGGAACUGGGGCACGGUCCAGAGUCCUACGGAAGGCAGAAGUGGGGAAUAUUGGACAAUGGGAGAAAGACUGAUCCAGCCAGGCCGCUUGUGUGAAGAAGGUCUUCGGAUUGUAAAGCACUUUAAGUUGGGAGGCGUUACCAACAGAAUAAGCACCGGCUAACUUCGUGCCAGCAGCCGCGGUAAUUC
rnacentral:rRNA from 1 species